CAUAGGAAGUUGCUUGAUUAAGGGAACCCACUGGAGCCAUAGCAAAAUCGAGUCUUCAUAGGGAAAAUGACACUGCUUAUACACCCUAACCUGGGUUAUCUAUUUAUGACCAAGAUGAAUCUUUGGUGAAACUAAGUGGAGGUCUUAACCGAUUGAUGUUGAAGAAUCAGCGGAUGAGUUGUGGUUAUGGAUGAAAUGCCACUUGAACCCGGAGCUAGCUGU
rnacentral:ncRNA from 1 species